rnacentral:lncRNA from 1 species
AUGCGUGUUUGGACACGAGAGGCAACAGGCGUUCAAAGACGCCUUUCUCCUUCGUCUGUCCCGGUCCUCCGCCGAGGCGGCGGGAGGACGCUGCUGCGCAGGCGCGGCCGCGGGUCCGAGCGGGCGGAGCAGCCGCUGCCGCCGCGGGUCCUUCCCCAGCGUCGCCGGCUGCCGACCCAGCACCUGCUGCGGGGCCGCCGUCCGGGCCUGGCUGCGCAGCCCGCGGCUACUCCCGACCGAACCGGAUGGCGAAGAGGAGCCAGGACUGCGCCCGCGGGCAGUUUCAGGGAGUUCGAGGACUUGCUUUGGAGACGCUUCUCCCGUAACCUUUAGAGUUUAUUUUUUAUUACAGUGAUUUUUAAAAUUAAUUUUUGUGCAUGGAUUUUUUUCUUUCUUUCCUUUUUCUAAGCUUCAAAACAGCUGCAACCUGCCUUUAACAUGUCAAAGUGACAGGGUGCCUUUCUUUCCCCCGGGGCCCCUCUCUCCUUGCGUCCUGGACCUCUGGGACUCUGAAAAACCCUUGCUCCGACAACCAGGAGCAGGAGUGAGCGAACGUCCCACGGCCGAGGUCGUGUCUCCACGCGUGUCUCCUCGCAGUGCGAGUGGCUCCUCACGUUCUGGAAACCCCGGCUCCCUUCCCACCGCAACGCUGUCUCGAAGACAGUUGGCUUUUUUCUCCUCCUCCGUCUCCUUUUCUCGCUGUCUCCCUCUCUGUUUAUCUCUCCAUCUGUCUCCAUCUCUCUGUCUUUCAGUCUCUGUUAGUCUCUGUAUCUCUUUCUCUCUGUCUCUCAAUCUCUCCGUCUCUGUCUCUCUUUGUCUCUUAAUCUGUCUCAGUCUCUGUCUCAAUCUCUCUCAGUCUCUGUCUCUCUCACACUCUCUCUCUCAAUCUCUCUCUCUUUUCAAAUUUCAAAGCAGCCCCUUGAAUGACUGACUAUUCAGGGCAGGCAGAAUGAGGCCUCUCUCGGGCUCAGGCUGCAGUCAAAGCCGCGCGCACUUCUAAAGGGGCUGCGGGCCGCUCCACCCGGGGCGCGGGCGGCGGCGGUGGCGCGGUGGCGGCGGGCGGCCGUGCGGCCGACUGGCCAUCUGUAUGCAAAUCUCAGCAGACCCAGCAAACUUGCUGCAGCCUGGCCGGCCGGCGGGCUGUACACGCAGCAAUUAUCAGUGCACAUCGGGCCUUUGUGCCUGCGGCCGGGCUUUGUGGGUGCCGAGGCUGCCCAGCACCUGCACCUCGGAGGUGGCAGAUGGCAGGACUUGGCAGCAAUAUGGAAGUUUGCCUGAAUGUGGCCGAGCUGCAAAUGGACAUCUUUUAUUUCUUCCUGGGGGUGGGGAGCUGAAGAGAGGGGAUUAGUGCUGGAUUACCGUCCAUUCACUCCCUGGGCAAAUAUUUCUUGAGUGCCUACUAUGUGCCCCUCCGCCCGUGGGGUAAGGAGGAGCCCGCCAAGGAAAGACAUGGUGGGGUGUAUUACUUGAGGAAAGAAAAAAAACAACCUGGAAAGGAGCUGUUGACAUUCAAACUUGCUACGUAUGUAAUUGCGGAGUGGGGGGGGCCGUGAUGCGGGGGGGGGGGGGGGGGGCGGAGGGGGGAGGGGGGAGAGGGCGGCUCUUUUUCAUCCCUGGGCGCCCUUCGCCAUGGGGCUCAUCCCUGCCCAGCCCCCCCCCAAGGCUCACUCCUGCCUGGCCCUGCGUGCCCACGCUUGUGCGAGCCGCUGUAGUGCCCUGGUCAGAGUGCUUUCUACUCACAAGUCUGUGUUGUCUUGAACCCCAGCUGAGGCGGGCCUCUGCCAAGGACUCCAGAUGAAGACAGAAAUGUGCUGUUUCUUUGUCACUCUGCCCCCAGAGUGGGGAGUGACUUGGGUCCACUGUGGAGACAGGCUGUGGUCAGCGUUCUGCUGGAGGGUGAGCUUUCUCCCCCAGACGCCUGUGUUAAAUCAUCACUCUGCAGGAUCCUGGGGGCCUUGCACAUUUUCACACACUUACCGCCAGCCCUCGCUGGUGAAUUCCCUCAGCCAUUCUGCAAGCUGGCGUUAUCUCCAUUUGACAGAGGAGGAAGCUGAUUCAGAAAGUUGAGUGAAGAUGGAGAUCUUAGGGGGAGCUGAGAGGGGAAACCCAGACUGGAGUCUCCAACUUCUGGUCCCCAACACUGAGCUUUGGCGAUGGCAGGGCAGAUCUUUCCUUCAAAGUCAGUUGGUCUCUGCUUAACAUGACAAUUUCAAAGCCAGACUACGUAGAGAAAACGUUUGGACAGGGCGUAAAAAUCUCUUUUUAUUUCCAAGUAAUGUAGAUACCUGGCACUGGCAUUCUGCAUCUGAGCCUCACUUGGUCCCACUGCCCAUGUCUUAGCCCCACCCAUCCCUGGUCCUCACCCAUCUCUCAUUUCUUCAUUGAUUUUUUUUUCUUUUUUUUUGAGGAAGAUUAGCCCUGAGCUAACAUCUGCUGCCAAUCCUCCUCUUUGUGCUAAGGAAGACUGGCCCUGAGCUAACAUCUGUGCCCAUCUUCCUCUACUUUAUAUGUGGGACGCCUACCGUAGUAUGGUGCCUACCAAGUGGUGCCAUGUCCGCACCCAGGAUCCCAACCAGAGAACCUCAGGCCACCGAAGCGGAACCUGUGCACUUAACCUCUGUGCCACCCAGCGGGCCCCCACUCAUUGAUUUUGAGCUCCCUGCUUAGCUGUAUUUGCUGUCAACUACCUCCUCUGGGAGCUGAGUGCUUUGGGGCCAUACCUGCAAAACUCCUGCUCUGAUUUAUGGAAUAAAUUGUGUGAAAACCCACUAGGAAAGCUGCUA